ACGGUUUUAUCAUGCAGAAACAUCAGUCCCUGUGCGUUCACAGAAGUUAAGCAACAUUGAGCCUAGUCAGUACCUAGAUGGGUAGCCGCUUGAGAAUACCAGAUGCUGUAAG